GUCUCGGACGCCGUGGGCGCGCCUGGUAAGGUCCUGCCGUAUCCGCCUGGUUCCUGCCCGCUGCGGGAGGGGCUCUGGAGCGCCGGGACUACGGCUGAGACCCGUCGGGCCGGGUCAGGUCGCGGACGAGGUCGACUGUUUGUUUAAGAAGCGGGGACUCUUGUCCUGAGUGCACCGAGUCUUUCAGCCUGCGGGACGGUGGUGCGAUUUGCAUUAGAGCAAGGGAGAUGCCAUGUGCUGGCCCAGCACUCCCACAGGGGCCUGACCUCUGCGAAGCGGACCCUGGAGGCAGCUUAGACGUUUGAACAAAUCAAGUCGUCCAGAUCCACGGUCAGCUCCUGCCUCGACGUGGCCUUCCUCCUGCCGGGCUGGCCCCCCGACCUCGGGAACCUGCGCUGGCUGUGGGUGACCUGCAGGGUUUCUUCUGUGUUGCAGUGGAGCCUCACCUGUUAGUUUCAUGCUCUAGCCUGGGGUUGGAGAACCCAGGGAGAGGUGAGCUGGAAGCCCUGUUCCCUGACCUGGGGCUCUGGGGCAUGGACUGCGCAACUGUCUCUAUCCUGCCACUCUUGCUGCUUCCUGAGUCGAAAUGGACCAUGUUGCCAUUAUUUUGGGGUGUGCCCGAGUGCGCUGAGGACAGUUGGCUGCCUAUCUUCCAGGACUGUGGAAGCGUCAUGCAGGAACCUGGUUCUGAGACUGGGGUUUACACCCUAUGCUUAAAGAAUUGGAAAUGCCCCUAAAGUCCCGAGACCACAACCCCUCCACCUUCUAAAGAUAAAACAAGUCACUCAACGUGACUUGAAGGAUAUUGAUCCCAUUUUAAAAUAUUCUCUUUGCAAAGGACAACUAAGCAUUUGUCUCUCUUUUAACACUUUAGCAAAGGAAAAUCCUCCUUUGGGAAGGAGACAAAUAAUGGAUGACUACUGUUUGGAGCUAGCUCCUGGUUUUUCUUGCCGAUGAUGAGGACUGUAUUAAUAAAUUACUGACUUUCAUGUUUAAUCAACAUAUAUUGAGCACCGACUUUUGCUGGUUAGGGCACUGAGCACCCUCACACAUUUCAGUUUGUUCACUCUUCUGCAAUAGCGAAAGGAGAGGUAAAUAUCCAGUUGAUAGACAAGAAGGGCUGAUCUGGGGAAAUCAAUGACAUGAUGCUUGUAUUUUAACAAAUCACGCUAUUUCUGGUCCAACAGGUGAAACCAGAGAUAGCGGUGUCAUUUAAGGAGCUCUCUGUUGCAGCCCACAGACACACACCUAUGUGUGGGUGGGAUGGGAGGACCCCUCCAGCUCCUCAGUGUCUCCGGGUACCGAAUUGCCAUGGCCUGGGAGGUGCCAUGGGUAACCAGACUUCCCAGCUUCCUACCUCCCCAGGCAGGGGUCUGCAGUCUAGGGGAUGGCUGUGCUCGUGGGCCCUGUGUCUAAGUGAAAAUUAGGAGGACCAUGGAGGGAGGGUGGCGAGCAAGGGCAGAUUGGCCAAGGUCCCCAGCAGCCACUCCUGAAGUCCUUACUAAGGAGAAGCAGCCUCUCCUCUCAGCCUUCCCCCAGUCCUCCUUACAAGUGUAUUCUGCUGGCUUCUAUGCAGAUGUUUUUUUGGCUAUGACCAAUAGUAACUUAAACAUGGACUAUUUUCUUUUUAAUUUCUUCCUGUAAAAUUCUUAGAAAACCACUAAUACAUUUAAUAUACAUGUGAAAUAGUUCUCUUGGAAACACCCUUUCUUAAUGCUUAUAACUGUGUUUAUUAUGGUCGUGUCCCAUCCAGUCUAAGUAAAUUAAAAUCGUAGCCCAGAUGAGAUAUAAGGAAAGGCAAGAAGAAACUUUGAUACCUACCAAAUCAUUCCUUGGUUGUAGACUAAAUGUAACACAUUCUCAGCUAUUUUGAAUUCUCCAUAUUCAGGCUACAAGAGAAAAUAAACUGUACAUUAAACAAGUUCCAAAGUUCUUUGCAUGAACCAAUUCAUUACAGUCACAUAGAUAGACUUCUUGGCUCUUAUGAGCACUUAGAGAUCAGUGCUUGUGGGGCCAUCCCAGCAAAUGGUAAAUGUUAAGAAGCAGGUGAGGCUGGGUGUGGUAGUUUAUGCCUGUAAUCCCAGCACUCUGGGGGGUGGUGAGGCAGGAGGAACACUAGAAGUCAGGAGUUUGAGGCCAGCCUGGGCA